rnacentral:rRNA from 1 species
UACGGAGGGUGCGAGCGUUGUCCGGAAUUACUGGGCGUAAAGGGCGCGUAGGCGGCCCGCUAAGUCGAACGUGAAAUCCCCGAGCUCAACUCGGGAACUGCGUCCGAUACUGGCGGGCUUGAAUCCGGGAGAGGGAUGCGGAAUUCCAGGUGUAGCGGUGAAAUGCGUAGAUAUCUGGAGGAACACCGGUGGCGAAGGCGGCAUCCUGGACCGGCAUUGACGCUGAGGCGCGAAAGCCAGGGGAGCAAACAGG